UUAAACAAAAUGUCCCUUUAAAUGCACCUUUUCAUCAAUACAAAGUUCAUCGUAUAUAUAUCUGGCUCGUGGUGGUGAUCUGAGCUAUUCGGCUUGCAAAUCUGUUCAAGUGAAGAACCUGCUCUUUUAAAUACUAUUUAUUGCGCAACGAUGUUUCUACAAAUUGUCUUCGUAGCAGUCGUGGCCUGUUGUCUUGUUAAGUGUCAGAUCGAAACAGACAAUUGUGAUGGAUACAGUGCUGCCAUUUCUGCAUGUAAUACAAACAAUGGUCUGGCUACAGAUGCGUUGUCUUUUACUGGAAUACCUUCAUUAGCUUCGGGCGAUAUAUCUGCUACAUGUGGAGAUUUGGAUGACAUAUUAAAAGCAGUGAAAUGCGUAGCGGAUACACACAUAGCUUGUGGAACAACUGAAACCAAACAAUUGGUAGCCUCUUCAGAACAAUAUACAGAAGUUCUAAAUACUAUGUGUUCUCGUAAAAGCGAGUAUGAUGGAACAUGUGUUAAUUAUGGCGUCAUAGCUAAUUGCGCAGCGACCAAACAGACUGAAAAUAACCUUACAAUAAGCAGCAGUUCUACCUUCGCCGAGUUAACCACUUACUUCUGCAAAUUCAACGAGUACUAUUCGUCUUGUGCAAGCGCAGAUACACAACUAGGAUCGUGCACUAAAACCAAGACCAAAGAAAUAUACUUAUCACUUGUAGCUGAACUCAGACCUGGCAUAUGUGGAGCUUCAUCCAUAGUUUCUUCAGUUCUUUUACUGGUUGUUUCUCUUCUUGCCGCUUUCUUUAAUUAAAUCUGAUUAACUAGAGCUACGGCGAUCUUAUCUGCUGGUUAUUUGCCGUCCUCUCACAUUCUCUGCUGAGAUGUAAUUGUAAAAAAAACAAGCUCUUCUAUCGUGUUUUCUGUAGGUUUUUUUUAUGAUAUCCCCAUGCACUUGACUACAUAUUACGCCAAAGCUGCUUUAUCGGCAAUCAAUUCGAUAUGAUGAUUGUUCAGAAUCCAUGAAGAUUUUAAAUUUGAUUUUAAGUUCUGAACUGAUGGCAGUUUAACGUUGUUUGUGUUAUGUUCCCAUGAGUUGAUAUGUGUUCCGUGUUUUUAAGCUUAUUUUUCAUCUGUAAAGGAGUAUAAAGCUAAACUUAAUUAUGUUGUUUUACUUCGUUAUUAAACUUGGUUUCGCUACAAAGACACAGGCUUCCCAUUUAAAGGAAAGGUUGUACAAUUAAAUAAAUAAUGAUGAUUUCUCAAAUUCCAUACUCACGAACUGAUUUAAGUUUUUUUUUUAAAUUUGAAAAUUCUUACGAAGUUUAAUGUAAUAGACACAUUGACAGAAGUAUGUCCUUUUAUUCUUCGUAUUCUGAAACAAUGUGUGAAUAUUUGCGUUUUAUUGUCCACAACCAAAAUAAUUUGGUAUUCUGCUUGCAGAUGAUGCGAAAAAAACUCUACAAAAGAAUAUAUAAGAUAUGGAACACACAAAUUGUUCUUUAUUAGUGUUUGAAUGUCUAUAAUUAUAAAUAUAUGUGUAGUGACGUUGUCUAUAUAAGUAUUAUAUUAUUAUCUAUUAACAGAUUCUAUAUAACAUCUACAUAUAAGUAUUUGUCUAUAUAUCAGUAUUAUGUAAUCUAUUAACAGGUUCUAUAUAAAAUCGAGCCUAAAUUGGGUACGAAAUAUACUCGAUUCCUUUAUUCUCAGAAAAGUUUAAUAUAU